GCCAGAGACAGUAGAAUCAGGACACAAAUUUUGGGUCAGCAUAAAAGUAGGAAUACACGUUUUUCAUUUAACCUCCAAGAAGGAAUAGAUACUUCCCCGUAAGGUCAGAUAAAUAUAAUCAUUCUCUUUUGACUGCAGGGAAGGCAAAGGAGAAGCAUGUAUUGAUCAACCCUGUUCCAUCCUGUCUCCUUCUGUGGCUCCAUUUACUCAUCAUGAUUGGACUGGGAAUUCUGCCAUACCUGCUGAGGGGAACCAAUAAAUCCAGAGGUGCAGCAUAGUCAGCCUCUCCAUCUCAUCUCUUUGGAGGAUGUUGAAAGAAAGUAUUAGAUGGAUUCUAAUGCUUUGGGAUAUAUCAUAAGUGCUUUGGGAUAUAACAUAAAUGAAUCUCAUAAAUAAUCAACUGAUGAAGUAAGUUGUGUUGAAAUCUUGAGGAUUAGGUGUAAAAAGAUGGAUGUCUAAAUACAUACCGUGCUUAUCUUUGGACACUGAGCAGCCAUAGCUUUCGUGGAUGUGU
rnacentral:lncRNA from 1 species